GUGCUACAUUAUUUUUUUAAUAUUCUGGUCAAACGCGGCUUUUUUCAAUUCGAGAUAUUUGUGGACGUUUGGUGGACUAUUGUGUUCAGUGGAAGGCAUACUACGCAAAUCGGUGCGGAGUAAUACGUUCCUCGAGUAGUUAGAUUUUAAAAUAUCAACUAUCAUCUGAAUUUAGAGAAUUUAUAGUGUUCGCACAAUGGAACAUGUAUAUUCCUUGGGUGUCAUUUAAGCAUUAUCGGUUGCAGCUUCAUCCCAAAAUAGAUUAUGAUAUUGUCAAGUAAUGCAUUUAUUUCAUGCCUAUCAAUGAUGUGUGCAUUAUUUAAGAAUUCGGUCGGGACUCUGAAACAUUUAGUCGUAUAUUUAUUGGAAUUAAAUGACAACUUAAAUGCAAUACAAAAUCUCAUUUUAUGAAUAAUUUCAGUGAUGGAGACAUGCAAUGCCACCCAGUGCAAAUAACUGGCAUCAAGCCAAAAUAUACAAAACAAAUAAACAUUGGGCCUAACUAUUGCUUAAAAAAUGUAUACUGAAACAGUCUGAG